UACGGAGGGGGCUAGCGUUGUUCGGAAUUACUGGGCGUAAAGCGCACGUAGGCGGCUUUGUAAGUUAGAGGUGAAAGCCCAGGGCUCAACCCUGGAAUUGCCUUUAAGACUGCAUCGCUUGAAUCAUGGAGAGGUGAGUGGAAUUCCGAGUGUAGAGGUGAAAUUCGUAGAUAUUCGGAAGAACACCAGUGGCGAAGGCGGCUCACUGGACUGGUAUUGACGCUGAGGUGCGAAAGCGUGGGGAGCAAACAGG
rnacentral:rRNA from 1 species